rnacentral:rRNA from 1 species
UACGUAGGGCGCAAGCGUUGUCCGGAAUUAUUGGGCGUAAAGAGCUCGUAGGUGGCUUGUUGCGUCUGCCGUGAAAGCCCGUGGCUUAACUACGGGUCGGCGGUGGAUACGGGGCAGGCUAGAGGCUGGUAGGGGGCAAGCGGAAUUCCUGGUGUAGCGGUGAAAUGCGCAGAUAUCAGGAGGAACACCGGUGGCGAAGGCGGCUUCUGGGGCAGUGGGCUGACGUGAGGCGCGAAAGCGUGGGGGAGCAAACAGG